rnacentral:rRNA from 1 species
AUGAUGUGGAUUAAUUCGAUGCAACGCGAAAACCUUACCUACCCUUUGACAUGCCAGGAACUUGCCAGAGAUGGCUUGGUGCCCGAAAGGGAGCCUGGACACAGGUGCUGCAUGGGCUGUCGUCAGCUCGUGUCGUGAGAUGUUGGGUUAAGUCCGCUAACGAGCGCAACCCUCGUCGUAUGUUAUAUGUGUCAUACGAGACUGCCGGUAAAAAGCCGGAGGAAGGUGAGGAUGAUGUCAAGUCAGCAUGACCUUUAUAUCCAGGGCUACACACACGCUACAAUGGUCUGUACAAUGGGUAGCCAAGCCGCGAGGCGGAGCCAAUCCUGAAAGCAGGCCUCAGUUCAGAUUGCAGUCUGCAACUCGACUGCAUGAAGCCGGAGUUGCUAGUAACCGCAGGUCAGCAAUACUGCGGUGAAUACGUUCCCGGGUCUU